CGUUCUUGCAGGUGAUAGAUAACCAAUGGAACUCUCUUUUUAACCAUCCUCUCUAUGUAGCAGCAUACUUCCUUAAUCCUUCGUAUCGUUACCGUCCCGAUUUCAUGCCGCUUCCAGAGGUGAUCCGCGGUCUUAAUGAAUGCAUAACUCGACUGGAACCAGAUAACGGGAGAAGAAUUUCUGCUGCGACGCAGAUAUCCGAUUUUGUUUUCGCCAAAGCUGAUUUCGGAACUGAAUUGGCCAUAAGUACAAGAAUGGAGCUGGAUCCAGCUUCUUGGUGGCAACAACAUGGCAUAAAUUGCUUGGAACUACAUGGAAUCGCUGUUCGUAUAUUAAGCCAGACAUGCCUAUCCAUUGGUUGCGAAAAG
rnacentral:misc_RNA from 1 species